AUUGAACGCUGGCGGCAUGCCUUACACAUGCAAGUCGAACGGUAACAGGUCUUCGGAUGCUGACGAGUGGCGAACGGGUGAGUAAUACAUCGGAACGUGCCUAGUAGUGGGGGAUAACUACUCGAAAGAGUGGCUAAUACCGCAUGAGAUCUACGGAUGAAAGCAGGGGAUCGCAAGACCUUGUGCUACUAGAGCGGCCGAUGGCAGAUUAGGUAGUUGGUGGGAUAAAAGCUUACCAAGCCGACGAUCUGUAGCUGGUCUGAGAGGACGAUCAGCCACACUGGGACUGAGACACGGCCCAGACUCCUACGGGAGGCAGCAGUGGGGAAUUUUGGACAAUGGGCGCAAGCCUGAUCCAGCAAUGCCGCGUGCAGGAUGAAAGCCUUCGGGCUGUAAACUGCUUUUGUACGGAACGAAAAGCCCUGGGUUAAUACCCUGGGGUCAUGACGGUACCGUAAGAAUAAGCACCGGCUAACUACGUGCCAGCCGCCGCGGUAAUAC
rnacentral:rRNA from 1 species